rnacentral:rRNA from 1 species
AGUGAACGCUGGCGGUAGGCCUAACACAUGCAAGUCGAACGGCAGCACAGUAAGAGCUUGCUCUUACGGGUGGCGAGUGGCGGACGGGUGAGGAAUACAUCGGAAUCUACUUUUUCGUGGGGGAUAACGUAGGGAAACUUACGCUAAUACCGCAUACGACCUACGGGUGAAAGCAGGGGAUCUUCGGACCUUGCGCGAUUGAGUGAGCCGAUGUCGGAUUAGCUGGUUGGCGGGGUAAAGGCCCACCAAGGCGACGAUCCGUAGCUGGUCUGAGAGGAUGAUCCGCCACACUGGAACUGAGACACGGUCCAGACUCCUACGGGAGGCAGCAGUGGGGAAUAUUGGACAAUGGGCGCAAGCCUGAUCCAGCCAUACCGCGUGGGUGAAGAAGGCCUUCGGGUUGUAAAGCCCUUUUGUUGGGAAAGAAAAGCAGCAGGUUAAUACCCCGCUGUUCUGACGGUACCCAAAGAAUAAGCACCGGCUAACUUCGUG